CCUACGGGAGGCAGCAGUGAGGAAUAUUGGUCAAUGGACGAGAGUCUGAACCAGCCAAGUAGCGUGAAGGAUGACUGCCCUAUGGGUUGUAAACUUCUUUUAUAUGGGAAUAAAAUGCUCUACGUGUGGGAUUUUGUAUGUACCAUAUGAAUAAGGAUCGGCUAACUCCGUGCCAGCAGCCGCGGUAAUACGGAGGAUCCGAGCGUUAUCCGGAUUUAUUGGGUUUAAAGGGAGCGUAGGUGGAUUGUUAAGUUAGUUGUGAAAGUUUGCGGCUUAACCGUAAUAUUGCAGUUGAGACUGGCAGUCUUGAGAACAGUAGAGGUAGGCGGAAUUCGUGGUGUAGCGGUGAAAUGCUUAGAUAUCACGAAGAACUCCGAUUGCGAAGGCAGUUCACUGGACUGCAACUGACACUGAGGCUCGAAAGUGUGGGUAUCGAACAGGAUUAGAUACCCCAGUAGUC
rnacentral:rRNA from 1 species